rnacentral:rRNA from 1 species
UUGGAGGGCAAGUCUGGUGCCAGCAGCCGCGGUAAUUCCAGCUCCAAUAGCGUAUAUUAAAGUUGUUGCAGUUAAAAAGCUCGUAGUUGAAUUUCGGGAUCAAGGGAUCGGUCAUGCCUUGGUAUGUACUGGUCUUAUUGGUUCUCACCUUCUAAAGAACCAUGAUGUCAUUCAUUUGAUGUUAUGGGGAAUUAGGACUGUUACCUUGAAAAAAUUAGAGUGUUUAAAGCAAGCUUACGCUUGAAUACAUUAGCAUGGAAUAAUGAAAUAGGACAUCGCAUUCUAUUUUGUUGGUUUCUAGGAUCGAUGUAAUGAUUAAUAGGGAUAGUUGGGGGCAUUAGUAUUCAAUUGUCAGAGGUGAAAUUCUUGGAUUUAUUGAAGACUAACUACUGCGAAAGCAUUUGCCAAGGAUGUUUUCAUUAAUCAAGAACGAAAGUUAGGGGAUCGAAGACGAUCAGAUACCGUCGUAGUCUUAACCAUAAACUAUGCCGACUAGGGAUCGGAUGAUGUUGAUUUUUUAAUGACUCAUUCGGCGCCUUACGGGAAAC